ACUUGCGCAACAUGGAUAGUACGGAGGGAAAAUCCAUGGUAAAACGUAUUUUUAAUACUGCCAUUAAAGGGCUUAGGCGUCUUGGUUGCAGCCGCCAUGAUGAUGUUGUCAGUCGAGCAUUCGACAUGCCGGAGGCACCGUCGAACAGACCGAGUAUGGUACGUGUGAGCCAGCCAUCCGCCACACCGACCGUACCAGUUCCCUCUACCUCGCAUACAUCUAAUCCACGACGCGACUCAUCUCUACUUGAACGAUCACAGUCCGCACACAUAUCUCAACGCCAUGGCGCCACACAGGUAAUCAACUUACGUACAUACAUUCCUCCUGAACUUACAACAAUGACACAUUUUUUUCCAAUUGUAUUAGGAGGACGAUCAUUUUCCGUCAUAUCCAUCUGGACAACGAUUCUCAUACACAGAAGGCGAAUACUCGCAAAGAUUCAACACUCAGGAAUCUGUUGACCCUACGUGGUCCAACAUGGGAGCUGGUUUAGGCCACAAUAUGCCUCCACUGCGUGGUCGUGACCACAUGCAAUCGCAAUACCCAACUCAGGAAUCUUUAAUCCCGACAUGGCCCGAUAUGACGCAGCAACCACAAUACUACGGCAGCACUUCCCAACAACCUCGCGAUGAUGUUACCGGGAUAGUUGAAGAAUUCUUUGGAGGUGCUAUUUUCGGCACAGAUGCCAGUUUGAUUCCCCCAAAUCAGGAAUCUCCAUACAUAUUUCAGACUCCAUCGCCAGCAGAUGAGACACGUACAGAGGAUGAGGAAAAUCAGUACGGCCGAGGUUUGCGUCCACCUCAUCCCCCUCGUCCCUGGUUGUCGCCUUCCGGUCCAAGGCCACGGCAGCAACGUCG